GUGAAGGUGUACUGUGAGGUAUGCUGGAGGUAUCAGAAGUGCGAAUGCUGACAUAAGUAACGAUAAAGCGGGUGAAAAGCCCGCUCGCCGGAAGACCAAGGGUUCCUGUCCAACGUUAAUCGGGGCAGGGUGAGUCGACCCCUAAGGCGAGGCCGAAAGGCGUAGUCGAUGGGAAACAGGUUAAUAUUCCUGUACUUGGUGUUACUGCGAAGGGGGGACGGAGAAGGCUAUGUUGGCCGGGCGACGGUUGUCCCGGUUUAAGCGUGUAGGCUGGUUUUCCAGGCAAAUCCGGAAAAUCAAGGCUGAGGCGUGAUGACGAGGCACUACGGUGCUGAAGCAACAAAUGCCCUGCUUCCAGGAAAAGCCUCUAAGCAUCAGGUAACAUCAAAUCGUACCCCAAACCGACACAGGUGGUCAGGUAGAGAAUACCAAGGCGCUUGAGAGAACUCGGGUGAAGGAACUAGGCAAAAUGGUGCCGUAACUUCGGGAGAA
rnacentral:rRNA from 1 species